CCUGGGCCGGGCGACACAAAGGCUCCGUAACGCGGUUGCCAGAGCGCCGCCGGUCGCCUGGUAACCGCCCGCUGCCGCUUUAUCCGGGGGCGUCUCCUGGCUGGGGGCGGGGUGGAGCUGGAGUCUCUGCGGGCGCUUGCCCGUCGUGUCCCGGGGCUCUUCUCGGCUCCGCUCCCGCUCCUAUGCGGGCUGCGGCCGCUGCGCUCGCAGCACCCCGGGCCCUGGCGGGCGGCCACUCCGGGCAGCGGGUCGCGUCUCAGCGAGCGCGCCCCGGCCCCGCCGGCGCUGCCCCGGAGCGCCAUGAGCUCGGAGCCGCCCCGCGCCUCGCUGCUCCGGGCCCUCUUUAAGAUGGAGCCGGCGGCGGCCGCCUCCGAAGUGCUGGGGGGAGCCUCGGAGUUCGUGAAAGAUCGGUUGUACUUCGCUACUUUACGAACUAAACCGAAAAGUACCGUAAAUACCCACUACUUCUGUACCGAUGAGGAACUGGUCUAUGAAAAUUUCUAUGGAGAUUUUGGACCUCUAAAUUUGGCAAUGUUAUACAGAUACUGCUGUAAACUAAAUAAGAAAUUAAAGUAUUUCAGUCUCUCAAGAAAGAAGAUUGUGUACUACACCAGCUUUGACCAGCGGAAGCGAGCGAAUGCAGCGUUUUUAAUAGGUUCAUAUGCUGUUAUAUACUUGAAGAAAACACCAGAAGAAGCUUACAGGACACUUUUAUCUGGAUCUAAUCCACCAUAUCUUCCCUUUAGGGACGCUUCAUUUGGGAACUGCACAUACAAUCUUACCAUCUUGGACUGUUUACAGGGAGUAAAUAAGGCCUUGCAGCAUGGAUUUUUUGACUUUAAGACAUUUGAUGUGGAUGAAUAUGAACACUAUGAGCGAGUGGAAAAUGGUGACUUCAACUGGAUUAUUCCAGGAAAAUUUUUGGCUUUUAGUGGACCACACCCGAAAAGCAAACUUGAAAAUGGUUAUCCUCUUCAUGCACCUGAAGCCUACUUUCCUUAUUUCAAGAAGCAUAACGUCACAUCAAUCAUAAGACUAAACAAAAAGAUUUAUGAGGCAAAACGCUUUACUGAUGCUGGUUUUGAGCAUUAUGAUCUGUUCUUCAUCGAUGGCAGCACACCAAGUGACAGUAUAGUCCAGAGGUUCCUGAACAUCUGUGAAAAUGCUGAUGGUGCCAUUGCUGUACAUUGUAAAGCUGGCCUGGGAAGAACAGGAACACUGAUUGCCUGUUACAUCAUGAAGCACUACAAGUUCACACAUGCUGAAGCCAUUGCUUGGAUAAGAAUAUGUCGCCCAGGCUCUAUUAUAGGACCCCAGCAACACUUCUUGGAAGAGAAGCAAGCAAUGUUAUGGCGGGAGGGAGAUCUCAUCCGGUCGAAGCAGAUACAGAGAGGAGUUGAUGGAAACAUUAACAGAGUUCUUAGUGGCUUAAAUGACAUUUCCAUCAGUGACAGUCUGAACAAAGCACAAGACUUGGAUCAGUUCAAGGAGAAUGAUUCUGAAGACAAAGAUGUGGAAGCUCAGAAUGGGAUAACCCAGGGAGAUAAGCUGAAUGCCUUAAAAAGUCGUAGACAGCCUUGUUCUGCUACAACUGGAGCUCUGAGGCUGCAAGACAUGAAACUGAACACCAGGUCAAUAUCACAACACUUCAGACUGAAUACUUCCGGUGGCACAGAAGGAUCCAUAUCUCCUCUGAAGGCCUCCAGAGUGAUGGCAGUCACUUCACCAUCUGCAGAAAGAAUAAGCAGAAUUUCCACAUCCCCUGGCUCUAACCUUAAAAGCGUUUCCAUAAACUCCAGACUAGCCAGUUCUCUAGGGAACCUGUAUGCUGCUUCAGAUGGUGAUGAGAGCAAAAUGACAUCAUCGUCCUCUAGGACAGGUUUUUCUGUAAGCCAUAUCUCCAGUCACCUGAAUGGCAGCUUGCAGCUGCCACACAGAAUAAACCAUGAACUGAACAACAACUUAUACAACAGAAACAGCAGUAGUGGCAGCAGCCUGAGCAGCCCAAGCAGUUUUCCCAGCGCCGUGACAGAUGAGUAUGCACCAGCCUUCCUUUAUGGGCCUUACAGCUCCUCCAGCACGAUACCAGAGGCCAUUCCUAAGUGGAGGACCUGCCCUCUUGUUAGCAGCUCGGUUGUGGCACCACUCACAGUUCAGAAGCCACAUCUCUGUAGCUUGGGAGUAUGAAUUGCUAUUUCUGAGGAUAGAUGACAGUAGGAAAUAAAAUCUCAUUGUUCCAUUGUGGAAUUAAAUUGCAUGUGUGACUGAAAUGUAAUCUGUAUAAACAGAACAUUGAAGUUAGUUGAGGGAACGUGAUUCUCUAACUCAGUAGGUUCUUCCCACUAUGGUAGAUUCUGCUUGACUAAAGCAAGCUCUUCAGAAUACUUAUGCUUUCAGACUCCUUGCUUAAAAAAAUAAUUUUAGCUUCUUAUUCACUACAGUUUAUGUGGAAAUAAAUGCUGAUAUUCCAUGAUCUUAGAAUCGCUGUUCUGCCCUGAGUUUAAAAUUGAGUUUAAACUUUACUUUAAACAGCAGCAGCAGUAACUUUUUUGCAAGGGAGUUCCUGCUUGCUGUCACAUCUUCACCUCUAAUUUCACUGUUUUUCCCUGCUACGUGGGAUAGUAAUAAACUAUGUAUAAUUGAGAUUUUUCAAGUGAGAUAUAGAAACUGUAACAGUUUUUCUAUGAUGAAAUAAGUUCUAGAACAAGAGGACUGUUCUUGUUUAACUAAUUCAGUUUAAUUUCUUCAGGCAUAGAGAUGAAGAGAGAGGAGAAAAACUGUAUAUCAAGCCAGGAAACAAUGUUUGUUUGAGUUAGAUUGAUGCGUCUUUCAUUUGUUCAUGCAUUCUGUUUGCUCUGGAAAAUCAUCCUUUUUAGGUGUUCCCAGUCUUCAAUCCAAUAUGCUUAAAAAAAUUCAGUCCUCAGGAGUUCAGUCCUCUGCUCCUGUUGAGUGUGCUGGAACUAAAAGUCAGUAUACCACAGUCCCUUCAGUCUGGGUAUGUUCAGUACUAAAGCCUUGCUGCUUUGGUGAAGCCUGCUGAGCUCUUCAAAAUCGAUGCCCUUCAUGGUGGAGAAGAACUGAAGAAAAGAAGCUGCUCAUUAAAAGGAGGAACCUUCAAUACAAGGAUGUAUUAAUUCCUUAGCACCAAGAGGAGACUUCUUAACAGGCAGAAAUUUAUUGUUAAUGACUACUGCAGAUGCACUGAAGUUGAAUUUAUGGAAAUUACUAGCCCAUGUUAUGUACAAACUUAAAUUUUUUAUGUUGAGACAGCUUGAAUAUAUUUCUAAUGAGUUUCAUUAAGACAUUUAUUAACUUGUGUACAGUGUUAAAAUAUGUAUUAAGAGAAUAUUUUGGUAAACUAUAUAUAAAAAUUAUGUAAAAACUAGAAUAUAUUUUAAUUUAGGGUCUACUUUGCUACAAAAAUGUGUAUUUUAAAGAAUUUGUACACGUUUAUCAAAGAUACAAUUUUUUUUUAUGAACAAGAGAUUUUUCUUGUUUUAUGGGUCCAUCAUUAUUGCUUAGAGCCUAAUGUAAUUUACUUUUUUACUAAUUGGUCUUCUGGUAAUUUGAUGGAAGUCUAACUAGUGAGAGAUUUGUUAUUACAGUAUCAACUAAAAGCACUUGAUACAUAGUCUGCUUUCCUCUUCUGGCUACGUUUCUUAAGGAAACACAAUGAAAGAAAAAUAAAGGGAAAAUAUUUGUUGAGAUGUGAUGUAAUUACAUCUUCUGCUGCAACAAAGAAGUAAUUUAUGUGAUGACUCAAUUGUACAAUUAACGCUCUUUGAAUUUCUUAAAGGAUUUAUGUUUUGUUUUCAGUGUAGAGCGUUAACUUUUCCUAUGCAAUAUAUGCUGCAAAAAUGAAGGCAGACCAAACUGAAGUUGGUAAAAAUGUACAAUGAAUUAGGUAGCACUGCAUACAUUUGGCAGUAUGUGUACAAUUUCCUUAGCAACACACAGUAUAUGUUGGACAUACAUUAAAUUUUUAUCUAUCAAUUGGAUGCUUCAUAAACCUGUACAUUUGUUGUGAAGCAUAUUGCUGAGGUAGCCUCUGUAUCAUGGAAGGUUUUUGUCAUAGUAAAGAUGCUCUUUACUCUGUGGAACACACAGGUCAGUCAGAUGUGAUUAGGAAUGAAAUGGUGUUACAGGGAAGUACUAAAAAGAUCAUGUGUAGAAUUUUCAGAACUCACAAGUGCAUGGUAAGGAAAAGGAUGUAAGCAACGGUGAGGGUUUUAUUUGCCCCUCAUGUGCAAGACAAAAACAAGACAGAUUGGUUUCCUGUUUGUUUUUCCAAUAUCUGCCGAAACUUGAAAAUAAAACUUAGUCCAGUUGUCAGUCUUUGUUCCUGAAGACCUAUGAAUACCCUGCAUUUGCUUUACACAAAUUGCUAUGGAAAGUUGUACUGAAAGUGUUCAAAAGCAAUACUGAGAGCAGCUAUAAAAAUCAAAAUCACUGACUAAAAUUUACAUGCAAUACUGUACAUUUUUGCAACUGUGUAUAUGUAAAAUAUACACACAAAGUAGCAUAUGUGUGUAUAUAUAUACUAUAUACUGUAUAUGAAUUAUAGAUUAAUAAGGUAAUUCUACCUCUCAUAAAGAAUUUUCUCAUUUACUUUGUUAUAAAUAGUUUUCUUUAAUAAAAUACUGAUUAAUUUUGAAAUGUAGAUAUAUAUAUAUAUAUACAGCUAAUUGAUAAUAAAAUGCCUGUAUAAGCCAGC